GAGUUUGAUCCUGGCUCAGGAUGAACGCUGGCGGCGUGCUUAACACAUGCAAGUCGAACGGUCGCAAGACAGUGGCGCACGGGUGAGUAACACGUAGCUAACCUGCCUUCGAGUGCGGAAUAACGUCCCGAAAGGGAUGCUAAUACCGCAUAAGCUCACGGGAAGUAGAUGCCAGUGAGAAAAGGGGUAACUCGCUUGAAGAGGGGGCUGCGACCCAUCAGGUAGUUGGUGCGGUAAAAGCGCACCAAGCCGACGACGGGUAGGGGGCCUGAGAGGGUGGUCCCCCACACUGGGACUGAGACACGGCCCAGACUCCUACGGGAGGCAGCAGUGAGGAAUAUUGCGCAAUGGCCGAAAGGCUGACGCAGCGACGCCGCGUGUGGGAUGAAGGCCUUC
rnacentral:rRNA from 1 species